AUCUUCUCAAGAUGAAUUGUUCUUGUUCUCCUAGAGAGAAGGAGGCACCCAGAGAGGAGUGACUCGCUCACCUUCAGACAGCUCCGGGGUUCCUACAUCCAGCUGCCUGUGUUCGUGGACCACCGCUCUCUCUGCUGCUCAGCCCCCAGACCUAGAAGUUGGCUGUGACGUCUUUCUUUCCCUCGCCUGGCACACAGUAGGCCCUUUAUAAAUACCUGCUGAAUAAACUGAAUGAAUAAGGAAGCAGAGAUGGGAAGCAGAACUUCAGGCUGUUCAUUCACCAGGAAAAAAAUAGAAAAGCAUCUAUGAAGAUGGAAAGAACGUCAGCGCGUUAUUUCCAGGCAUCGUCAUGGUUUCUAUGUAUUCCAAACCUUUGCGUGCAUCUCUGAUCAUGUCCUUGGGAUUCAACCCUCGAUGUGAAUAACAGGAUCCAAAGUCAAGGCAUCCUUGUAAGGGGUUGGUGCGAACAUUCCUGAAGGGAAAUGGAGCUGGCGAGCCGUCCCUACCUCUUGAUUAGAGACGCUUAGGUGGCGAAUUUCAGCGAGGUUGCCGUAGAACAGCAUCCUAUCUAAGAAGGCAUCUUUGCAAUAAAAUAAUUUACCUGGAAGAGGAGGUUCUCCAUAAGAUAAUAAACAAUACCCAAAUGUAUUGGCAAUCUUUUAUUCAAGUCAGAGCUCUGUGUUAGUUUACUGUGUGCUUUGGGAUGGAAAGGGCGUUAUCUUCACUCGAUUCCUUGCUUGGCUUUAUCAUCUCUGGUGCACGUGACCUUUCCCUUGCUCUUGAUUGGAGCUCAGGUGCACAGUCUUUCGUGAUUGGCUAAUUCAAAGGGAGGGGUUGGCCUCUGUUGUUCCAAGAUGGCGCCCUGGGGAGAUGCAAGCCAUGUGGCCAACAGGUGGCUGCCAAAUCACGCAGUCCAAAAUGGCGGCUGUCUAAACUGUUCUUGGACAGAAAAGAUGACUUGUUCAUGCUCACAGGGAGAGGAGGGGAGAGAGACAGAGAAACGUCCACUUAUCUGUGCAUUCCUUGGUUGAUUCUUGUAUGUGCCCUGACAAGGGAUUGCACCCGAAACCUCGGCAUAGAGAGUUGAUGCUCUAACCAACUGGCCUACCCCACCAAGGCUAACUAUAGCAAUCUCUUAUCCGGCACUUAAAAGCCUUCCGUGUUGUAGCUCUAAUUUUAUUUUCCCAGUUUUUUAAACUCUAAUUUCGCUUACUAUAACCUCAGGCAAAAGAACGACCUGCUAGUCCCCUGCAUUUCCUUCAUUUACUUGCUCGUGUCCUUUCCUUUGCUGAGAACAUGGUUCCCUCCACUGAUGCUUCAGGAGCCAGUUCAGAUGCCGCCUCCUCGGAAAGGACUACAUGUUUCUACUUGUUGAAGCCGGGUGAUUGGCAUACGGGUGUUCAUCAUCAUAUUCUAUUUUUGUACAUGCUUGACAUUUUCCAUCACAAAAUGUGUUAAUAAAUGAAAAAUUAAAUAAAACUUAAGAAUUUAAAAA